GACCCCAAAACAGACACUUGGACCAUGGUGGCUCCUUUGAGUAUGCCUAGAGAUGCUGUUGGGGUCUGCCUCCUUGGUGACAGAUUGUAUGCUGUUGGUGGCUAUGAUGGGCAGACGUACCUCAACACUAUGGAAUCCUAUGAUCCACAAACUAAUGAGUGGACACAGAUGGCAUCCUUGAAUAUUGGGAGAGCAGGUGCCUGUGUGGUAGUCAUCAAGCAACCUUGACUUAUUUUUAUUUUGUCUGGAGGGAAUUUAUUUGCUGGAGUGGUUAUUUUCAUAUCAUAUGGCCAGAAUGAGAACUUCCUGAGAUGAAACUCUUCAAGAACAAGGAUUUCUAUAAAUUUACCUACUGGUGUCAAAAGAAGUAGAAGAUUUACUAGAAUUAUAGAAAACAAGAAAACAUCAACCUUAUGCAAGAACAGUAUCUGGCCAUAUGUUAGUUAGUUCAGGAAUGGUUAUUGGUAAUUUGUUUUGUAUUGUAGUGUACAAUAACUAGAGUUACCAAAGGCUUGUUUUUCUUGAGCAGUUGAAAGGAGAGAUCAAUAUUUGUGACAUGGAUAAUUUCAUGAUUGGAACUCAUUUGAUUAAUUUAUAGUCUGUGGCAAUAGCUAAGAUUGCCAAAAGUAGAAGGCGUAAUAUUAUCAUUUGACAGAAUCUGAAUGGCUUACUGUUUUCUUAAUCAGAUGUGAUCAUGCCAGGAAGCAGAAUGUUUUAUUAAAACAAACUUGAGUCUUCCUUAUUUUCCUAAGCUGUAAGAACAAUUAGAGGAGCAGAUUCACACUUGUCUCUUGCAUUCAGAAAACAAACUGUCCUGCUGAUCAAUGCUGCAUAUCUCAUCAGAGACAAUGGUUGAAUUUUAUUGCAACCAUAUUAGCAAUCGGAAACUGGCAAACACAAAGAAUUGUUUUCAUUGAGCUUGCCAUGUUGCUUUGCUUUUUGAACACACUGAGCCAAAGAAUCAGUACAAUUAUGGGCUUUUGCCUUAUAUUGAGUUCAGUGUAAGCAUGGAAGCUAGUUAUUCUGAAUGUUAUGUAUAUCCACUGCAUGUUGAAGUCCUUUACAAUUUUCUUCUUAAGAAAACUUAGAAUUUUAAAAGGAAAAUGUAUGAUCCAUUAAGUUGGAUUGUUAAUGAUUAAUGCUAGAAGGAAGGCAGAAUUUCAACUUCCCAUUCCCUAUGUUUUAAACUUGUUACAUUGAUAUGUACAUUAUUUUAAGCAAAUUGUUUAAAGCAUAAAGUGGAAACAUUAUACAAUGUCCUUAGAUCCAUGUAAAUUUUAGAUCCAUGUAAAUUUUAAAUACAAUUAAUAAAUGAUAAAAAAAUUUGCUUUUA